rnacentral:lncRNA from 1 species
AAAACAUUUAACUGAAUAGAAUGACAGUAAAACAGUUAUACUAUGUGUUGGCUGAGUAGUUAGCGGAGAUUCACUACAAUUUGUGUUAAUUUUCAAAACUUUUUGUAGGGAAAGAGUGGAACCAUAUACACAAUUAUUAAUUUGAGCAAAUAUUUAGGAAGAGGUCAUAAUUUUAUGGAGUCUGUGAAGGAAGAAACCACAUGGAAAAAGUGAUACACAAGUUACUUCUAAAAAAAAGGAUUUUGUGAACAAACUCUUGCACUUGACUUUUUUUCCCACUUUCGGGGCGUCAAGUAGCCUAGCGGUUAAAGGAGGCAGGUAGCCUAGCGGUUAGAGGAGGCGGGUAGCCUAGCGGUUAGAGGAGGCAGGUAGCCUAGCGGUUAGAGGAGGCAGGUAGCCUAGCGGUUAGAGGAGGAGGCGGGUAGCCUAGCGGUUAGAGGAGGCAGGUAGCCUAGCGGUUAGAGGAGGCAGGUAGCCUAGCGGUUAGAGGAGGCAGGUAGCCUAGCGGUUAGAGGAGGCAGGAAGCCUAGCGUUUAGAGGAGGCUGGAAGCCUAGAGGUUAGAGGAGGCGGGUAGCCUAGUGGUUAGAGGAGACAGGUAGCCUAGUGGUUAGAGGAGGCCGGUAGCCUAGCGGUUAGAGGAGGCGGGUAGCCUAGCGGUUAGAGGAGGCGGGUAGCCUAGCGGUUAGAGGAGGCGGGUAGCCUAGCGGUUAGAGAGUUGGGCCAGUAACCAAAAGGUUGCUAGAUCGAAUCCCUGAGAAAACAAGGUAAAAAUCUGUCGUUAGGCCGUCAUUG